rnacentral:rRNA from 1 species
UCGUCAGAGACGAUGACGUCGAUAGGUCGCAGGUGUACAGGCGGUAACGUCACAGCCGAGCGAUACUAAUCACCCGAACCCUUUCCGGG